rnacentral:misc_RNA from 1 species
AGGAUCUAACAGUAAGGACCAUUAGUUACUAACCGCUCAGUGAACGCUUUAUUUUCUGAACGCAACCAUUAUUGGACAGAAUAUAAGGAUCUAACAGUAAAGACCGAUAGUCACUAGUCGUUCAAUGAGCGCUUUGUUCUCUGAAUGCAAUCGAAGCAACGCUUGAUGAAACUGCUUUUGCUGCUGAAUGCCAUUUCUGCUGAUGGCCAUUUCUCUAAUGUUACUUGCACGCGUUGUACGCGUAUUGGUGUCUGAUUGUUCUAGAAACACAUUAUUGUUACAAAAUUAAUUAUACAAGUUGUAUAAUUAACAAGCAACGAGGAUGGCAAAGUUUUGUCUGAACAAGCAAGGUAAACGUACAUCAGCGCGGAAGGAAUAUAAGAUCGAGAAGAAAGUUCAUGAGCACAAUUGUAACAUGAAAAAAGAAGCCAAGAGACAUAAAAGUGGAAGAAGCAGUCAGAUCUGCAAAAGGAAACAAAAGAUUGAUAUUAGUUUUGAAUAAAGCAGAUCUAGUACUUAGAGAAAAUCUAGAUCAAUGCCUAAAGUAUUUGAGAGUGAGUUUGCCAACCGUAGUGUUUAAAUCAUCCACACAAAGUCAAGCGAAAUGGUUGGGUCGGAGAAUGCUAGGUUGAAGAACAGAAUCCAUGAUAUAAAGCAAUAUCUGUUUUGACGCAUUGUUUUUACUUGGAAAUUACUGCAGAAACAGUGGCAAUGUAAAGACAAGUAUCAGAGUAGGAAUUGUUGGACUUCCGAACAUAGGCAAAUCUAGUGUUAUUAAUUCCUUAAAACGCAGUAAAGCUUGCAAUGUCGGAAACAUGCUAGGAAUAACAAAAACAAUGCAAGCAGUUCAAUUAGAUUCAAAAAUAAAACUGCUGGACUCUCCUGGUAUAGUAUUUACUAAUUCGGACGAAAAUUGCGACAACACAUUUGUGGCUUUAAAAAAUACUGUGAAAAUCUAAGCAUUGAAAGAUCCUUUUACUCCAGCAACCACUAUUCUAAAAAGAAUUUUGCGAGAACAAAUAAUAGAAUUGUAUAAUAUUUAAGAUUUCUGGACAUCUGAUGACUUUUUCUCAGUAAAGGCUGCAAAAAUGGGGAAAUGAAUACAGACUCAGAUGAAAUGAAUACUCCAGCAUUAAAUGGAAAUGAAAAUGGAGGGAACACAGAACAAUCACAAACAAGAAUCAUCCAAUGUAAGUUUUAUACUCCGGGGGACAUCCGAAAAAGCAACAGCCAUCUUCUAUAGCAGAAGCAAUGAUAUUAGAUACAGAAGCAGCUGUUAUAGCGAAUUUUGAAUUUUUGGGACAUGGACAUGGAAGAGAAAGAAGGAGAUGGAGAGGAUGAAAUUUAUGAUACAAAUACAGAUACCAAAUCAACGUGAAGUCAUCGCCUUCUUUAUUAUUUGGGUGUCUUGGAUCUUGUUGUAAUUCUCUAUGUCAGACCUCGGUAAAGUUUACAACUUUCGGCCGAUUUUCGGAAGAUACGCCUUCUAUCUCCCCUUACCGCGCGGCGGAUCCAGCAACUGACGGUCGCGGCUCGCGACCUCAAGACCGUUGAGAUCAUAAAGCGCAUCUAUGUGAUGCUGACGAAAGAUGCGUUCGGGGAGCACAUCGAUCAGCGCUAACGCGUCAUUCAAUCCUUGUACAUGUAAUGAGCGAUAAAGA